ACACAGGAGGAGGGAGAAGCAGGCUCCAUGCCGGGAGCCCGACGCGGGACUCAAUCCCAGGACUCCAGGAUCGCGCCCUGGGCCAAAGGCAGGCGCUAAACCGCUGAGCCACCCAGGGAUCCCAUGCGUCUUCUUCAUAAGACUCUCCAGUUGGACAAAGUUUCUGUGUCAGGAAUUCAGGAGCACCUUAGCUGGAUGGUCCUAACUCAGGAUUUGUCAUGGGGUCACAGUAAUGAUGUUAGAAGAAACUGUAAUUAUCUGAAGGUUUAAAGAUCCACUUUCAAGAUGGCACACUCGGAGGCUCAUGAUGUGGACCUUUUCUCGUGGCAUGACAGCUGGCUUCCCUCAGACCAAAGAAAAAAAAGUGAUGGGGAAGUCACGAGAUCUUUCUGACCUCGUCUCCAAAAUAGCACACCAUCACUUCUGCUUUAUUCUAUUCACCAGGGACAGAGAGAGAGAGAGAGGCAGACACAGGCAGAGGGAGAAGCAGGCUCCAUGCAGGG